rnacentral:rRNA from 1 species
GAUGAACGCUGGCGGCGUGCCUAAUACAUGCAAGUCGAGCGAACGGACGAGAAGCUUGUUUCUCUGAUUUUAGCGGCGGACGGGUGAGUAACACGUGGAUAACCUCCCUAUAAGACUGGGAUAACCUCGGGAAACCGGAGCUAAUACCAGAUCAUAUUUUGAACCGCAUGGUUCAAUAGUAAAAUACGGUCUUGCUGUCACUUAUAGAUGGAUCCGCGCUGCAUUAGCUAGUUGGUAAGGUAACGGCUUACCAAGGCAACGAUGCAUAGCCGACCUGAGAGGGGGAUCGGCCACACUGGAACUGAGCAAGGGCCCAGACUCUUAGGGGAGGCAGCGGUAGGGAAUCUUCCGAAAUGGGGGAAAGCCUGAGGGAGAAACGCGGGGUGAGGAAUGAGGGCUUCGGGAUGGAAAACUUUGGUUAUAGGGGAAGAAAAGAUGUGUAAGAAACGGUGGACAUCUUGACGGUACCUAAUCAGAAAGCCACGGCUAACUACGUG